rnacentral:rRNA from 1 species
CAGAGGUCCCGAGCGUUGUUCGGAUUCACUGGGCGUAAAGGGCGCGCAGGUGGGUUGGCAAGUUUGAUGUGAAAGCCCGGGCUUAACCCGGGAAUGGCAUUGAAUACUGUCGACCUGGAGGUUUGGAGGGGGGACUGGAAUUCUUGGUGUAGCAGUGAUAUGCGUAGAUAUCAAGAGGAACACCAGUGGCGAAGGCGAGUCCCUGGACAACACCUGACACUGAGGCGCGAAAGCCAAGGGAGCAAACAGGAUUAGAUACCCUGGUAGUCUUGGCUGUAAACGGUGCGCAUUUGCUGUAAACGGAAUCGACCCCGUUUGUGGCGAAGCUAACGCGAUAAAUGCGCCGCCUGGGAAGUACGGUCGCAAGAUUA